UACGUAGGGUGCAAGCGUUGUCCGGAAUUAUUGGGCGUAAAGAGCUCGUAGGCGGUUCUGUCGCGUCUGCUGUGAAAACUCAGGGCUUAACCCUGAGCUUGCAGUGGGUACGGGCAGACUAGAGUGCGGUAGGGGAGACUGGAAUUCCUGGUGUAGCGGUGAAAUGCGCAGAUAUCAGGAGGAACACCGGUGGCGAAGGCGGGUCUCGUGGGCCGUAACUGAC
rnacentral:rRNA from 1 species